UUGUCGCAUCUUUUCUUCUUCUCUUUCGCUCUUUCUCUCUCACGAUUGUGUCUUCUGAAAUCUUGAUUUUUUGAUUGUUUUGUUAACUUUUUAUUUCUUGAUUUAUUUCACAACUUCUGAAAACACAAGUUGUCGUAACUUUUUUUUUUUACUGAUUUGAGAUGAUUCUCUAUAUUAGGGUUCUUUCGGUUAUAGCAAACUGAUUAAAUAUUGGUUUUGUUGUAUGAGAAUGUUGAUGUUACAGCAAUUGCUGGGAGUGGUUGAAAUACUUCAAUUGAUGACCAAUUGUCAUCAUUUAUAGAAGAGAAACCAGCUGGAAAAGCAUGAAGAUGAAUUUUGCAUUUUAAACUAGCUAGAGAUGUCAAGCGAGAAGAGCAAACUUGGUGAUCAAAUUUCGCAGCUAAUUAGACACAUUAAUUGGAGCAAUAUGAUAAGUAAACGGGCACGGUACUUCGGAUGGGUUUCCAGAUAUGCUCUAUCUCUCCAAAGCGGUAAUUGAGGAAGGUAAGGCCUGUAUUACUCAGGUCGGCAUCUCUCAAAAGUGGAACAAUGUUGAUGUCAUGGAGAUCAAUGAUGUGACCAGCUUGGAUUUGCAUACUCUACCAUAAUGGUGAUUAACUAUGUAUGGUUGUUCCUAAGAGCGUCCACAAUGGUACGAUCAUAACCAAAGAUCAAAGACCAAAACAAACGAUCAAAUUUGAGAGUAGUCUGGAGUGUGACGUUAAGGCAUUGGAGUAUUUUUAGUCGAGCGGAAGUAUAAUGAACGCUUGCAUGUGGAGCGUUCAUAUAAUCUUCGUCCCGAAGAGGCGUUGAUAUAGUUUACGCUCGUUGUGGGGCGUUGUUAAAGAAUACGCUCGUUGUGGGGCGUUCAUAUAGUUAACGCUCGGAGAAGGGACGAACAUAUAAUCUACGCCUGGUGUGGCGGACACGUGAAUCAACGCCUCAUUCAGGCGUUAAGAAUAUCAACGCCUCAUUCAGGCGUUAAGAAUAUCAACGCCUCAUUCAGGCGGGGUGGGAAUUAAACGCUUCAUACGGGAGAACUUAUAAUCAACGCCCGUUGAACGCCCGUCUGGCGAAUGUAUAAUGAACGCCCCCUUGUCAGGCGUACGUAUAGUGUUGUACCCAAAUUAACACACGUAUCGAGCACGUGUGGACAAAGAGAAACCACCACGUAUAUCACACGUGUUCACUUGGUGUUUACCCUAAUCUUCUCCGUCUUCUUUUCUUUUCUUUUCUUCUUUCCUUUUCUUUUCUACCUCCUGUUUACCUCCUGUUUGUUUCUACCGCCCACAAACACAACACAUCACAGUAACUAGCAGGAAAAGAGAAUAGAAAAAAAAACCAGAUACUUGAUGAAUCCCGGUUAGAAAAGAGACGAACAAGAAACAAAAAUCUGUAGCCGAAGAGGAUUAUAACUUAAUCGCUACUGGUACA